rnacentral:rRNA from 1 species
UACGUAGGGGGCUAGCGUUGCUCGGAAUUACUGGGCGUAAAGGGAGCGUAGGCGGAUAGUUUAGUCAGAGGUGAAAGCCCAGGGCUCAACCUUGGAAUUGCCUUUGAUACUGGCUAUCUUGAGUACGGAAGAGGUAUGUGGAACUCCGAGUGUAGAGGUGAAAUUCGUAGAUAUUCGGAAGAACACCAGUGGCGAAGGCGACAUACUGGUCCGUUACUGACGCUGAGGCUCGAAAGCGUGGGGAGCAAACAGG